rnacentral:lncRNA from 1 species
ACAACGCCCAGGUCCCUGCAGAGCUGUCUUUCUGGCUCUCUCAACUCCCACUGCCCUUCCCAGUUCCAAGCUCCCAUUUGCAUUAGGCAUUUCCCUCUUCCCACAAUAUUCUACCUUCUCUGACAUAAGGACUCCAGGGAGUGCUCUGUGGGCCUUUCUCCCUCUUUCGCCAGGAAUUGGCUCACAUGACUGUAGAGGCUGGAAUGUCCAAAAUCUGCAGGGCGGGCUGUCAAGCUGAGGACCCAGAGAAAAGCUGACAAUGCGGCUCAAGUCUGAAGGCAGGCUGGCAGCAGAAUUCCCGCUUUCUCAAGGCACCAUCUUUUUUCUCUUAAGGCUCUCAACUGACUGGAUGAGGCCCGCGCAUUAUGGAGGGACGCCUACCACAGCAUGGCUUGCCAAGCAGUGCCAUGGCUGCACCCAGGAUCUGAACCGGAGAACCCG